rnacentral:rRNA from 1 species
GCGUUAUCCGGAUUUGUUGGGUUUAAAGGGUGCGUAGGCGGGCUUUUAAGUCUGAUGUGAAAGCCUUCGGCUUAACCGGAGUAGUGCAUUGGAAACUGGGAGACUUGAGUGCAGAAGAGGAGAGUGGAACUCCAUGUGUAGCGGUGGAAUGCGUAGAUAUAUGGAAGAACACCAGUGGCGAAGGCGGCUGUCUGGUCUGCAACUGACGCUGAGGCUCGAAAGCAUGGGUAGCGAACAG